rnacentral:rRNA from 1 species
AACGCGAAGAACCUUACCUACCCUUGACAUCUAGCGAAUCCCGGUUAAGCGCUGGGAGUGCCGAAAGGAACGCUAAGACAGGUGCUGCAUGGCUGUCGUCAGCUCGUGUCGUGAGAUGUUGGGUUAAGUCCCGUAACGAGCGCAACCCCUAUCCUUCGUUGCUAACAGGUCAAGCUGAGAACUCGAAGGAGACUGCCGGUGACAAACCGGAGGAAGGUGGGGAUGACGUCAAGUCAUCAUGGCCUUUAUGGGUAGGGCUACACACGUACUACAAUGGGGUGUACAGAGGGUUGCCAACCCGCAAGGGGGAGCUAAUCCCACAAAACACCUCGUAGUCCGGAUCGGAGUCUGCAACUCGACUCCGUGAAGUCGGAAUCGCUAGUAAUCGCGGAUCAGCAUGCCGCGGUGAAUACGUUCUCGGGCCUUGUACACACCGCAUAC